UACGUAGGGUGCAAGCGUUAAUCGGAAUUACUGGGCGUAAAGCGUGCGCAGGCGGUGAUGUAAGACAGAUGUGAAAAUCCCCGGGCGUCAACCUGGGAACUGCAUUUGUGACUGCAUCGCUGGAGUGCGGCAGAGGGGGAGUGGAAUUCCGCGUGUAGCAGUGAAAUGUGUGGAUAUCAGAAGGAACAUCAGUGGCGAAGGCGGCUUCCUGGACCAAUACUGACGAUCAGGUGCGAAAGCGUGGGGAGCAAACAGGAUUAGAUACCCC
rnacentral:rRNA from 1 species